rnacentral:rRNA from 1 species
UACGUAGGGGCAAGCGUUAUCCGGAAUUACUGGGCGUAAAGCGCACGCAGGCGGUUUGCCAAGUUUGGAGUGACAGUUGUUGGCUCAACCGACAAAGGACUUCAAAAACUGGUGAACUUGAGGACGAGAGAGGAACAUGGAACUCCAGGUGGAGUAGUGAAAUGCGUAGAUAUCUGGAAGAACACCAAUGGCGAAGGCAAU